CAGCAGGGGCUGAGCCCCGGGUGGUUGGCUGGCUCUGUUGCUGCAGCCGAGCCUAGAGGGUAUUUGCCUGGAUGAUGGUGACUGUGACUGCUGUGGUCCUGGAGCUGCCUGCCGACCUUGCAGCUGCGGCUGCGCCUGGGGUUCUGCCUUUGACUGCAGUGCAGCGGGCCCGGAGUGGGCUUGCCGGGAGCCCUUCUUGCUGUCAGAGGCAUGAUGGUAUGCGGAUGAAGCACGGGAUGGCUGUGAGUACUCAGCAGAGCUGGGAUACCCAGGCUGACCCUUCUUCGGCAUAGCUGGAGCAGAGCUGGGCUGAGAGUGGGGCCGGGCCUCAUGGCGACCCAGGUCCCGAGCGUGUGGUUUGGCAGCACGCCGUCCCGGCUCCUCACCAGUGUGGCGGCCUGAGUGCCGCCCGUGGUCACCGUGCCGGUGUUCCUUGGCUGAGGCAUGGCGGCCUGGGCCACCCUCAUCAUGAGGCCACAGGCCCUCCUGGUUGUCUUCCUCGGCGCUCAUCUCGAGAAUCUGCCGUCGCAUGAAAUCCUCAUCAGUCAGUUCUGCUGCCCGGGCUGGGGGCUGGGGUGGAAGAGGGGACAGGCCACCCUCACUGCUGUCCUCCACAUAGUCGUGCCUCAAUUGGCUGCCAAAGUCGUCUGAGGACUCGGCAGUGUCCUGCUUUCGUCUUCCUCCAGGAUAUCCUCCAGCUCCUCAUCAGAGUCAAAGGCCUCAGGCGUGAUGGACAAGGAGUCCCUGGGCCUGCAGCAAAGGCCGCAUGCUGCUCCCCACCUUGUGGAUCUCGGAGGGGCUGGGUGGAUGUGGCCCUGUCACCCCUGCACUGUCCAGCUGUUCCACCUCCUGCUGCACGACUCCUGUGAUCUCACUCUGGGAGCUAGAGAUGCCGUCAGAGGAAUAGCCUGUGUCACUGAGGCUCUGUGGGCUCCGAGACGCAUCCUGAGAGUAAGGCUUGACUGACCUCCGCCUCCCCACCCUUGGGGGCUUCUGGAACAGCCUUGACGACAGGGGUGGCAGGUUCAGCCCUCCUCACCCCACUCUUUACUUUAGGAGUCGCAGGGGUUGGGGUAGUCUCUGGAGGUGGCUUCGGCAUGGGCUCAGCUUUAGUGGGGACUCGGGUCUUCUUUUCCUGGACACUGCUUGGGGUCUUGCUGGGUUCAGAAGCCCUGAGGGGCUUGGCCCCUGAAGGCUGGCCCAGCCCCUGUGGCCCUUUCUGCUUCAGAGGGGAUGUUCCAGAUGCACGGUGAGGGGCCCCUACAGGGGGCUGCUGUGAGGUGGGCGGCGGCAGGGGGGUCGGCUCUCCUAGGCUGCCCUCCAGUAGCCGCUUGGUUUGGCAGUUCAGACAGAGCCACUCUGUUUUCUGCAAGGAA
rnacentral:lncRNA from 1 species